rnacentral:rRNA from 1 species
CGCCUCUUGUUAUGCUUAUAAGAGGUCCAGCCUGCCCAGUGACCCUGUUCAACGGCCGCGGUAUCCUAACCGUGCGAAGGUAGCGUAAUCACUUGUUCUUUAAAUGCGGACUAGUAUGAACGGCACCACGAAGGUUAUACUGUCUCCUUUUCUUAAUCAGUGAAACUAAUCCCCCCGUGAAGAAGCGGGGAUAAAACUAUAAGACGAGAAGACCCUAUGGAGCUUUAAACAACAUGGCAUUUGUCACACAACAUUAAAAUUUCUGAAUCUCUAUAUUGAUCGGCAAAAUGACUAUAAGUUUUUGGUUGGGGUGACCACGGAGCAUAACAUAACCUCCAUGUUGAAAGAGUACUUUUUAAGCUAAGAACUACCAAUCUAAGCAUCAAUAAGUUGACAUCUAUUGACCCAAUACACUUGAGCAACGAACCAAGUUACCCUAGGGAUAACAGCGCAAUCCACUUCAAGAGCUCCUAUCGACAAGUGGGUUUACGACCUCGAUGUUGGAUCAGGGUAUCCCAGUGGUGUAGCCGCUACUAAAGGUUCGUUUGUUCAACGAUUAAAACCCUACG